rnacentral:rRNA from 1 species
GAUGAACGCUGGCGGCGUGCCUAAUACAUGCAAGUCGAGCGAAUGGAUUGAGAGCUUGCUCUUAUGAAGUUAGCGGCGGACGGGUGAGUAACACGUGGGUAACCUGCCCAUAAGACUGGGAUAACUCCGGGAAACCGGGGCUAAUACCGGAUAACAUUUUGAACCUCAUGGUUCGAAAUUGAAAGGCGGCCUCGGCUGUCACUUAUGGAUGGAUCCGCGUCGCAUUAGCGAGUUGGGGAGGUAACGGCUCACCAAGGCAACGAUGCGUAGCCGACCUGAGAGGGUGGUCGGCCACACUGGGACUGAGACACGGCCCAGACUCCUACGGGAGGCAGCAGUAGGGAAUCUUCCGCAAUGGACGAAAGUCUGACGGAGCAACGCCGCGUGAGUGAUGAAGGCUUUCGGGUCGUAAAACUCUGUUGUUAGGGAAGAACAAGUGCUAGUUGAAUAAGCUGGCACCUUGACGGUACCUAACCAGAAAGCCACGGCUAACUACGUGCCAGCCGCCGCGGUAA